rnacentral:rRNA from 1 species
GACGAACGCUGGCGGCGUGCUUAACACAUGCAAGUCGAACGAUGAACCAGGGCUUGCCCUGGGGAUUAGUGGCGAACGGGUGAGUAACACGUGGGCAACCUGCCCCAGACACCGGGAUAACCUCUCGAAAGAGUGGCUAAUACCGGAUACGACCACUUUGGGCAUCCAACGGUGGUGGAAAGGAUUCUGGUCUGGGAUGGGCCCGCGGCCUAUCAGCUUGUUGGUGGGGUAAUGGCCUACCAAGGCGACGACGGGUAGCCGGCCUGAGAGGGCGAGCGGCCGCACUGGGACUGAGACACGGCCCAGACUCCUACGGGAGGCAGCAGUGGGGAAUAUUGCGCAAUGGGCGAAAGCCUGACGCAGCGACGCCGCGUGAGGGACGAAGGUCUUCGGAUUGUAAACCUCUUUCAGCAGGGACGAAGCGAAAGUGACUGUACCUGCAGAAGAAGCACCGGCUAACUACGUGCCAGCCGCCGCGGUAAAAC